UACAGAGGGUGCGAGCGUUAAUCGGAAUUACUGGGCGUAAAGCGUGCGCAGGCGGUUUUGUAAGCCAGAUGUGAAAUCCCCGGGCUUAACCUGGGAAUGGCAUUUGGGACUGCAAGGCUCGAGUGCGGCAGAGGAGACUGGAGUUCCUGGUGUAGCAGUGAAAUGCGUAGAUAUCAGGAGGAACACCGAUGGCGAAGGCAGGUCUCUGGGCUGACACUGACGCUCAUGCACGAAAGCGUGGGGAGCAAACAGG
rnacentral:rRNA from 1 species